GAUGAACGCUGGCGGCGUGCCUAAUACAUGCAAGUCGAGCGAACAGACGAGGAGCUUGCUCCUCUGACGUUAGCGGCGGACGGGUGAGUAACACGUGGAUAACCUACCUAUAAGACUGGGAUAACUUCGGGAAACCGGAGCUAAUACCGGAGAAUAUAUUGAACCGCAUGGUUCAAUAGUGAAAGACGGUUAUGCUGACACUUAUAGAUGGAUCCGCGCCGCAUUAGCUAGUUGGUAAGGUAACGGCUUAACAAGGCGACGAGGCGUAGCCGACCUGAGAGGGUGAUCGGCCACACGGGAACUGAGAGACGGUCCAGACACCUACGGGAGGCAGCAGUAGGGAAUCUUACGCAAUGGGCGAAAGCCUGACGGAGCAACGCCGCGUGAGUGAUGAAGGUCUUCGGAUCGUAAAACUCUGUUAGUAGGGAAGAACAAAUGUGUAAGUAACUAUGCACGUCUUGACGGUACCUAAUCAGAAAGCCACGGCUAACUACGUG
rnacentral:rRNA from 1 species